UACGUAGGGGGCGAGCGUUGUCCGGAGUUACUGGGCGUAAAGCGCACGCAGGCGGUCUGCUAAGUUUGGAGUGACAGUUGGUGGCUUAACUGCCAAAGUGCUUCGAAAACUGACAGACUUGAGGGCUUCAGAGGGACACGGAAUUCCGGGUGGAGUGGUGAAAUGCGUAGAGAUCCGGAGGAACACCAAAGGCGAAGGCAGUGUCCUGGGGAGUUCCUGACGCUCAGGUGCGAAAGCCAGGGGGGCGAACGGG
rnacentral:rRNA from 1 species